AUUCAUCAGUUCUAAAAUUAAAAUAUGUAGAGUCUCUUUCUACAACCCCAAUUUUUCUUUUUUUGGGGAGGAGCUACUACUACUUCUGAUAUUAAAUGUUUAGUUGUGUCUACUAUGUAGCAUUGGAAUGUUUUGGAAAUUCUAGUAUGUCAGUGUCUAAACUAUGUCUCCCAGGUUGCUGCAUAAACUUGGAAGUUACAUAACAUUUUUUGUUGAUGUGUGUAUUCAAAGUUUUCAUUUUGGAAGUAUGGUCAUUGAACCAGUGGUGCCUAGCUCGAUGCCUUGCUUAUUAUGCACUGAAUAAAUUCUAACUGAAUGAUCUGGGCAUUAUAAAAUUCUCACCUGCCUCCUUAAGCAAUACGUGUAGAAAAAUUAUUUGAUUAUUUUGAGUAUAUUACAUUAAGUUAUGAUUUGUUGUAAAUGGUUCUAUAUGGUGACUGGUUGGUAAUUGCUUCCUUCUCCAGCCAUCUUAGGGAAUGGAGGAUGAGGAGACCUUAAAAAGGUGGCAUAAUGAGAUUGAGAGCAGUUUUGUUAUUUAGUCAUUUGGACUGGCUUUGUGCCAGUUGAGUUUAAAAGGCUAAAUCCUUUUCAACUUAUAUUAGCUUGAACUUGAAAGCUUCUUUCAGUUUUGUUGUAUUUCUCCUUAGGCUGAUCAAUAUUUGAUAAGCAGAAAAAGAAAUGAGCCUUCUCCAACACAACCUCCUGGCCCCCAAACGUCAUUAGAUGCUAUCCAGCGGGAAGAUAUAUGGGCUAUGGAAAGUUAAAAAAAGUGGCACCAAUUCUGCUGACACCUUAUAUUCUCCUAAGUAGGCUUUAAGCCAUCCCUGGAUAUUUGUUUUUAAACAUCUUAUAAGCUAUUCCAUUUUAUCAAAUUAAAAGCACAAUACAUUCUCUUAGAAUGACAGAACCUGAGUCAGGACUUCAAGUGUGUGUUAUUCUUCUUCUUACUUUUGCUUUUUACAAACAAGGGAAUCACAAGUGGUUUUGUGCGAGUGUGUGUGCGCGUGCGUGCACGCGCGCGCAUGCAAGUUAAACCUGACAUUGUUGGUCUGUUAUGCAUAUUUAAUGCUAAUAAAUUAAAGUACACAGAUA